GAUGAAGAACGUAGCGAAAUGCGAUACGUAGUGUGAAUUGCAGAAUUCAGUGAAUCAUCGAAUCUUUGAACGCACAUUGCGCCCGCCAGCAUUCUGGCGGGCAUGCCUGUUCGAGCGUCAUUUCAACCCUCAAGCUCUGCUUGGUGUUGGGGCCCUACGGUUGACGUAGGCCCUUAAAGGUAGUGGCGGACCCUCUCGGAGCCUCCUUUGCGUAGUAACUAACGUCUCGCACUGGGAUUCGGAGGGACUCUUGCCGUAAAACCCCCAAAUUUUUAAAGGUUGACCUCGGAUCAGGUAGGAAUACCCGCUGAACUUAAGCAUAUCAAUAAGCGGAGGA
rnacentral:misc_RNA from 1 species